rnacentral:rRNA from 1 species
UAAGUUUGAUGGCGACCGGCGCACGGGUGGGUAACACGUAUCCAACCUGCCGAUGACUCGGGGAUAGCCUUUCGAAAGAAAGAUUAAUACCCGAUGGCAUAGUUCUUCCGCAUGGUAGAACUAUUAAAGAAUUUCGGUCAUCGAUGGGGAUGCGUUCCAUUAGGUUGUUGGCGGGGUAACGGCCCACCAAGCCUUCGAUGGAUAGGGGUUCUGAGAGGAAGGUCCCCCACAUUGGAACUGAGACACGGUCCAGACUCCUACGGGAGGCAGCAUG